UACGGAGGGUGCAAGCGUUUGUCCGGAUUUAUUGGGUUUAAAGGGUGCGUAGGCGGCCCGUUAAGUCAGUGGUGAAAGCCUCCAGCUCAACUGGAGAACUGCCAUUGAUACUGACGGGCUUGAGUACAGACGAGGUUGGCGGAAUUGAUUGUGUAGCGGUGAAAUGCAUAGAUACAAUCAAGAACUCCGAUUGCGUAGGCAGCUAACUAGGCUGUAACUGACGCUGAGGCACGAAAGCGUGGGGAGCGAACAGG
rnacentral:rRNA from 1 species